rfam:Triticum aestivum genome assembly, contig: Triticum_aestivum_CS42_TGACv1_scaffold_501088_6BL
AUACUACUCCCUCCGUCCGAAAAUACUUGUCAUCAAUUUGAAUAAAAAGGGAUGUAUCUAGAUGUAUUUUAGUUAUAGAUACAUCCCUUUUUGUCCAUUUUGAUGACAAGUAUUUUCGGACGGAGGGAGUAUUAU